rnacentral:lncRNA from 7 species
UCUCAAUGAGAAAAUGCCUGAUGUUUGCAUAAAUGUGUGAUUUUCGUAGAGAUAAUGCGUGAUUUUCAGGUUACAUGGGAGAUUUUUGAAGAGAAAAUGGCGUGAUUUUCGGUUAAUUGGGUGAUUUCUGCAAAGAAAAUGCAUCAUUUUGGGGUUAAAUUGUGUAUUUUUGCAGAGAGAAUGUUGAUUUUCAUUUAAAUGAGGAUUUCUUGCAGAGACAAUGCUUGAUUUUGUUUAAAUGAGGGAUUUUGGCAGAGAACAUGCGUGAUUUGGGUUAAACGGGGAUUUCUGCAAAGAAAAAAAAUCAUGAUUCUAGGUAAAAUUCGGUGUAGUUGAAGGGAAAAUGCAUGAUUUUCUGGUUAAAUGGGGUAUUUUGGAAGGGAAAAUGCAUGAUUUUCGGGUAAAAUGGGGGGUUUUCGAAGAGGAAAUGCUUCGUUUCAGGUUAAAUUGGGGGUUUUCGAAGCCAAAAUGUGCGAUUUUCACUUAAAUGGGGGAUUUUCCAAACGAAAAUGCAUGAUUUUCUUUUUAGAUGGGGGAUUUUCAUAGAGAAAAGGCAUGAUUUUUGUGUUAAGUGGGGGAUAUUUGCAAAGAAAAGGCGUGAUUUUUCGGGUUAAAUAGGGGAUUUUUCAAGAGAAAAUGUGUGAUUUUCAGUUAAAUCGCGGAUUCUCAAUGAGAAA